GAAUCCCGUAUAUGGCACGGACUCCCGUUACUUCUGUGAUACACUCUCAACGAGUCGAGUUGUUUGGGAAUGCAGCUCCAAAUGGGUGGUAAAUGCCAUCUAAAGCUAAAUAUUGGCGAGAGACCGAUAGCGAACAAGUACCGUGAGGGAAAGAUGAAAAGCACUUUGGAAAGAGAGUGAAAUAGUACGUGAAAUUGUUGAAAGGGAAACGCUUGAAGUCAGUCACGCCCUUUGGGAUUCAGCCUUGCUUCUGCUUGGUUUACUUCCCUUUGGGUGGGUCAACAUCAGUUUUGGUCGGAGGAGAAAGGCUUGGGGAAGGUAGCAACAUUCGUGUUGUGUUAUAGCCCCUCGUUGUAUACUUCGACUGGGACUGAGGACCGCAGCACGCCUCUGGCCGGGGUUCGCCCACGUACGUGCUUAGGAUGUUGGCAUAAUGGCUUUAAGCGACCCGUCUUGAAACACGGACCAAGGAGUCUAACAUGUGCGCGAGUGUUUGGGUGUUAAACUCGGACGCGAAAUGAAAGUGAAAAGUUGGGAACACUUAUGUGUGCACCAACGCCCGGAGCUGACCUUCUGUGACGCAUCUGCGGUAGAGCGUAUAUGUUGGGACCCGAAAGAUGGUGAACUAUGCCUGAAUAGGGUGAAGCCAGAGGAAACUCUGGUGGAGGCUCGUAGCGAUUCUGACGUGCAAAUCGAUCGUCAAAUUUGGGCAUAGGGGCGAAAGACUAAUCGAACCAUCUAGUAGCUGGUUCCUGCC
rnacentral:rRNA from 1 species